rnacentral:misc_RNA from 1 species
GGCGAUUCCAAAUUUACACGAGCCAUUUCUCAUGUAAUAAGGACAAGAUUUUUCAUCCUGGCGAAUCGGUAGCCCCAUUAUGUUCACUGAUACAAGUCGUGAAUCAUGCUUGACCUGUGGAUGGUGAUAUUUGCAGUUUGCCCCAAAUUUGCAAGUUCCUGUCCGAAGAAAAUACUGACAAUCAGGCUGCGAAACUCUAUCG